rnacentral:rRNA from 1 species
CGUGUAGGCGGUUGGUCAAGUCUGGUGUGAAGGCCCGGGGCUUAGCCCCGGAAGUGCGCUGGAAACUAGCCAACUUGAGCGCGAUAGAGGAGGGUGGAAUUCCUGGUGUAGCGGUGAAAUGCGUAGAUAUCAGGAGGAACACCGGCGGCGAAGGCGGCCCUCUGGAUCGUUGCUGACGCUGAGACGCGAAAGCGUGGGGAGCAAACAGGAUUAGAUACCCUGGUAGUCCACGCUGUAAACUAUGGGUACUAGGUGUUCGGGGUGUUGACCCCCUGAGUGCCGACGCUAACGCAUUAAGUACCCCGCCUGGGGACUACGGCCGCAAGGCUAAA